ensembl:misc_RNA Metazoa_SRP Metazoan signal recognition particle RNA
GCUGGGUGUGGUGGUGCAUGCCUGUAAUCCCAGCUACUCGGGAGGCUGAGGUAGGAGAAUUGCUUGAACCCAGGACGGGGAGGUUACAGUGAGCCAAGAUCGUGCCAUUGUACUCCAGCCUGGGUAACAGAGCGAGAUUCCAUCUCAA